UACGGAGGGUGCAAGCGUUAUCCGGAUUUACUGGGCUUAAAGGGUGCGUAGGCGGGCAGGUAAGUCAGUGGUGAAAUCUCCGAGCUUAACUCGGAAACUGCCAUUGAUACUAUCUGUCUUGAAUUAUCUGGAGGUGAGCGGAAUAUGUCAUGUAGCGGUGAAAUGCUUAGAUAUGACAUAGAACACCAAUUGCGAAGGCAGCUCACUACGGAUAUAUUGACACUGAGGCACGAAAGCGUGGGGAGCAAACAGG
rnacentral:rRNA from 1 species